rnacentral:lncRNA from 1 species
GAAAUUCGAGUUUUGGCGGCCGGAAUACUCGACAAGAAGCCCGAGUUUGCUGCACAAUACAAGGUGCGAACCCGCCUCCUUUUUGUUAUUUUCUUGCUAGCUUUUCCCUUCAUCUACUCUAAUUCUAUAAAACUGAUCUUGAAGUAAUAUUGUUUGUUGUUGCGUUUUGGUCCCGUAAACGAGCAUUUCGGUCUUUUUUUAUUACAUUUGUUUGCAUACAAGUUCAUGGGUAUGAAAAUAUGAGGCGUGGUUUGGUUUCAAUUUCGGUUG